CUCUUUCAGGAGUGAGUCUGCAGGAAGAGGAGGGCGCUGUGCCCUGCCAAGCUGAAGAGGAGCAAGAUGAAGAGUGUGUCCAAAAAUCCCCAAGGUCAUUGCAAAUAUUUCACUUGGCUGGCUUCCUCCCUCCCCGCAGCUGUGUGCUCUACCUGGAUUCCUAUGAUUGUGUCAUUGAACAAAAGGAUUUAAGGGGAGCAGUUUGAACUGUAAGGCCGAUCUUUAGAGGCAUCAGCUCAAAGAGACAGCUCUGAAGUUCUGAAACAGAAGAGUGGCAAGGACUAGACAGUUGGAGUUAAGUGAUUUACCCAGGAUUGCACAGCUGGGAAGUAUUCAAGGUAAGAUUUGAAUCCAGGUCCUUCAAAUUCCAGCCCUUGUGUUUUAUCCACCAUGCUGUCUACAUUACCUCCUCAAGCAACUUUUUUAAACUAGAUUUGAGGUGAGUUGCUCUAAAGUAUGUGAAGGGAGUUUUCACACAGAGGAAUACUUGAUAUAUUGACAUAAGCAAAUGAAUAUUGAGAAAAAAUCAACUACUUUUCAAAUAAAGUGACAUUAAGUAUAUACUCAGUGCCAAAGAAGAAAACUUUGGGUCAAAGAAGAUUAUCACCUAUAUUCUAUCUGGGCCUUGCUGCUGGUUUCCUCUAUCAUAUAUACAGUAAAAUUAAUACAAUAAUAGCUUAUGGUUCACAAAGCAUUAUUUGAAAUUAUAUGAAGGAAAGAUAUAAGAAAGGGGAAAUAAAAGAAAAGCAGGCCUUAUUGGACAUGAAAAAGAACUUCAUGAGAGCCAGCAUGAAGGAACCAUUAUGCCAUCCUAAAGAAUUUUAGAGUUGGAGCAGAAGUUAACAAUCAUAGUAAAUAUAACUAAGUUAUAUGUACUCUCUGCUCCAAUUGUAGUAUUGCGGGGAACAUGUUAGACUUGGGAUUAGAAAGGACAUGGAUUUAAAAUCUGAAUCAUGUUUCUGACAUGUAUUGGUUUUAUGACCAUGGGCAAUUUGUUUACAUUUUAACUUCUCUCAACUUCAGUUUUUUCAUUUGUAAAAUGGAGAUUAUAGCACCUAUCUUAUAGGCUUGUUUUAGAAUCAAGCAAUGCCCAAAGAGUUACAAAACUAAGCAUAGCUUUUGAUCCAGUAAUACCAUUAUUAGGUCUGUUUUCCAAAGUGAUCAAGGACAAAAGAAAAAACAUAUAUUUUAAAAUAUCCAGAGCAGCUUCCUUUUUGGUGACAAAGAACUGGAAAUUAAGGGGAUGCCCAUCAAUUGGGGAAUGGCUAAAACAAGUUGUAGUAUAUGAUUGUGAUGGAAUACUACUGCCCCAUAAGAAAUUAUAUGCAGAUUAAUUAAAAAAAACAUGGAGAGACCUACAUGAAAUUAUAAGAAAUGAAAUGGCAGAACUAAGAGGAUUAUAUAUGUGACAAUAGAAGUAUAGUUUUAUUAUAUGUGCUACUGAAGCAAGCACAAAACAAAUACUGAAGAAUUUCUUUGGAUAAAUUUGAAUAAAUGUGAAUAUUUGAAAAAAAAUAUUAUGAAUGCCUAUUCCCAGAAAAAGAGCUGGUAGAUAGAAACAUAUAUGGCAUAUAUGUAUAUAACUAUAAAACUGCAUAUCUUCGUCAAAUGAUGUCUUCCUGAGGAAAGAGAGGCAGGAAAGGAGGAAGAUACAGGGGAAAUUUAGUAUAUUUAAAUUUAAGCUGAAAUCAUCAUCAAAUUUAAGCUGAAAAAAGGAAAAAAUGCCACAUCAAUUAUUAUCAUUACAAAAAGAGGCACCAUGGCAUGGUAGAUAGAAGGGUAGCUUUUGAAUCAGGGAGACAUGAGUUCAACUUCUACCUCCAACAAAUGAGCUUCUAUAUUCGUGGGAAGGCAUAAAACCUCUCCAGGCAAUGAAGGUAUAGAUGAGCUGUAGUAUAGAAGAAGGAAGAGCAUUUGUUUCAGGGAAAAGAGGACCUCUAUUUAUAUCCCAGCUUUCCUGGCUCCUACCUGGGUAUACUUGUGGGCCUCAUUUUCCUCAUUUAUUAAAAUAGAGUUGUAUUACACGACCUCUAUUCCAUUUAACUUUAAUUCUAUGAUCCAAUUAUCUUUAAUUUUUUCUUUCAUUAAUUCAAUAUUUGAUAAAAAAAAAAAACAAGCAUGAUUAUUUCCACAUCCAAAGAAUAACAACAAAAAGUGAGGAUUAUACGUGAAGCCACAAAUCACUACAGCAUAUACUUGUGUUUUUAAAGGCAUUGAUUACAUUUAAUACAGAAAUUCCAACAAUCCUUUGUUUGUAUGUUAUUAUCUUGUAAUGCAAAGUUUAAAUUCUUUUGAGAGUAAUUUUAGGAUAAGAGACUUGCUACCUCCCUGAUUCCAGAAAGUGAACAGUUUGGAGAAGAUGCCAUGAAGAUGCCUGUAGAAACCAGACACUGCACCAAAAGAUCCAGAGUGAACUUUGGGAUGUGGUGAAUUGAACUGUGGGGGGUUGAAUGCAUUUGUUUUGAAUGUACACUCUUAUGUCAAAGAGGACUGUCUUCUAAUUGGUUUUUGUAAAUAUAGUAACCAUUGGUUUUUGUUCUUUUUCUCUUCUAUUUCCCUUUUAUCCCUAAAAUUAUUAUAAUUUCCCUUUAGAAAUUACAAUAUUGUAUAUACCUUUAGUUAAAAAUCUUUAGAAUUAAAAAUGUGUUAUAAAUGAUCCAUUUGGGUGACUAGUCUCUCCCAAAGGAUCAUGGGGGGAGAGAAUGUGUAAAUAGAAUUUUGUAUCCUUGGACUUCAUCUCCCAGAAUCCCUUUCUCUUUGUCCCCACAUUAUGUGCUUACAUUGUAUUGAUAAAGUUGUGUGUAACUCCGCUUCUCUCUCUCUCUUUCUCUCUCUCUCUCUCUCUCUCUCUCUCUCUCUCUCUCUCUCUCUCUCUCUCUCUCUCCCCCCUCCCACACAUGCAGCUGGGAAACUCUCCUCUAAUACUCAGGCUUUUACUUUUGUCUUUUUAUUCCUUUACUUCAAGUGAUUAUUAAUUAAUCUUAUAAAAAUAAUACUUGGAGUAUUAGAUAUUAAUUUUUUAUCUUAUAAAUAAUUUCCUUGGCUUUUCACAUCCUUAGCAGGAUUGAUAAUGACCCUCAAACCUCUGCAGUCCAAUUAACAUGUAUUUAUUAAGUGUAUAGUACAUGCCUGACAAUGUUCUAAGUUGGAGCUUACAAAGAAAGUUAAAGGACAGUUCUUGUUCUCAGGUUGCUCGGAGUCUAAGGGGGAGACAACAUCCAAGCAAUUAUGUACAGGCAAGAUAUAUACAUAUAAAUUGGAGAUAAUCAGUAUCAGGGGUGCUAGCAUUAAGGGGGAUCAGGGAAGACUUUGUAGAAGGUGGGAUUAGCUAGGGUUUGGAAAGAGCCAGGGAAACCAUUUAGGGAAGGAAGGAAAGCUGGGGGUAGAGAUGAGAGGCAUGAAUUCCAAGCAUGGCGGGACAGUCAGUAAAAAUGCAUGAAAGUGAAAAAUGGAAUACUUGUUUCAGAACUAGGAGAAAUAACAUGGAGGUCAGUGUCAUUGAAUGGCUGAAUAGGUGGCAAUAAUGUAUAAGAAGACUGGAAAGGUGGAAAAGAGCUACUUUAUUAAGGGCUGUAAAUAACAGGGAAUUUUCUAUUUGAUCCUAGAUAAAAUGGGAAGACAAUGAUCAUUCCCAUAUCGUCAGUCUUGCAACUUAGAAAAAUCCGUUUGACAGUUCAAUGGAAAAUAGACCAUAAUGAGGUUAAACUUGAAUUAGAGGAACCAACUAGCAAGUUAAUGCAAUAGCCUAGGCAUGAGGUGACAAGGGAUUGUGUCAAGAUGGUGGCAGAGGAGAGAAAGAAAGAUGUUGUGAAUAUAAAAUAGACAGUACUUUGCAUCAAAUUGGAUAUGAGAAAUUAGGGAGUGAGGAGUCAAAGAUGAUAACAGGGUUGUGAGCAUGGGGAACUGGGAGCAUGGUGGUAUUCUCAACAGCAUGUUGGUACUCUCAACAGUAACAGGAAAAUUAGGAAUAGGGAAGGACUUAAGGAGAAUCAUAAUGGGCUCAGUUUUAUAUGUGUGAAGUUCCCAAAUGGAGAUUUAAAUCUGGAGGCUAGGAGACAGAUGAGGGCCUGAUGAGUAGAUUUGACAAUCAUCAGCAUAAGAGAUGAAUGAAUGAUUCAUGAAUGAAAUGAUGAAUGAAAGAGAUGAACGAAAGAGAUGAGUGAAUCCAUGGGAGUUGAUUCCAUCUCCAAGCAAAAUUGUAUAGAGGGAGAAAAGAGGUCCUUUGAGAGAGCCUUUACACAGCAGGCAUGACCUGGAUGAAGAUCCAAUAAAGGAGAUAGAGUGGGUGAUCAGAAGGAUCAAAGGAAAACCAGGAUAGAGUAAUGUUCCAGAAAUCUAGAGAGAAGAGAGUUAUCAAGAAGUGGGUGAAUGACAGUGUCCUGCUGCACAAGGGUCAAGAGGAAUCAGUGAAGACUGAGAAAAGACCUAGAUUUCUAAACUGAGAGAUCAUUGACAACUUUAGAAAAGCAGUUUCAGUUGAAUCAAGAGGUCAGAAAUCCACAUUGCAGAUUGCUAAGAGUGAGAAGAAAGGAAGUAGAGGCAUUGAUUAAAGAUGGCAUUUUCAAGGAGUUUAGCCACAAUGGGGAGGGGAGACGAAUAUUUUUGAAUAUGAGAAAAAUGAACAUUUUUAUAGUCAGUUAAGGAAGCUGCCUGUAGACCUUGAAAUCGGUGUAAGGUUUGGAUGAUAAAGGAGCCAACUGCUAGAGAAGAUGGGAUAGAAUAGGAUAAUUUAUGCAUACAGAGUGAGUUUGCCUUGAUAAGGACACUUCCUUCUUGUAAGACAGGGGUGGAGGAGAUAGUUGAAAUGAGAAGGGAAAAGAGAGAGCUUUCAGGGAAUGGCCUCAACUUUUAAAUGAAAUAUGAAACAAUGUUCUGAGGAAACAGAAAAAAUGGGAGAUUUGAAGAAGGGUGAACAGAUUUAGAGAAGCUACUAGCAGCAUAACAAAAUAUCAAUAAAAGAGCAAAAUCUUCAA